rnacentral:lncRNA from 1 species
GUGAGUCUUACAAUGGGAAGAUGGGGGAGGCAGCACACUGGGGUCAGGAGUGGAGAUACUUAGGCUCCCCAGAGAAAUUAGUCACAAGUCUUAUCCCUUCAUCUCCAUUUACAGCCAUUUAUUUGGGAGCAACAUACUUUAAAUGAGUGAUAAACAAAAUGUCUCCCCACAGCCCCCACCCCAGCAUGUGUUCUGAAGUUCACAGGAAGGCUUCUCCUCAUUUGCUUUGGGGCCCGCAGGCUGCCUGCUAACAGCUGGGUCUUCCCAUGAACAAAUUAGACAGUUAAUGUUCCAGGAUGAAGAGGGCUUCGGGGAACAGAAUCUGCCGUUUAUUUGACUUGCUUCAUUAGACACAGUGCCAUCAUACCAAAAUUAGAAAAAAGAAGGAACUCAGCGGAAAUCAGCUACACAAGAAGAACCUCUCAGUUCUGAGAAUUCACAUUAACCAGUGAUUAAGAAAUAUUAAAAAGGUAUAGUUCUUGGCUGUGCUGAGGAUCUGUAAGGCACCAGAUGUGAAAGUAAGGAAGAAAGAUGGAUGUGGAAGAAAGUCACUGCCCAGAGAAUAAGGAGACCUGGAUUCUAAUCUCAGCUCUGCCAUUAACUAGCUAUGAAACUAUGGCUCAAAAGGGAAUAAGAGAUCAAGGCAAGCAUGGACAUCUUGUACGUGGAAGUGCAGACCAGAACUUGUAUCACAGCCAGUCAUAUCUGGUGCUUUCCAUGCUACUUUUACAUACAUGUAUCCUUAAAUUUGAUCCUCUUCUAGUUUAGUCUAAACUCUUUACUUUGUAACUUCCAAACCUAAAAGGUGCAGCAGACAUUGACAAUCUUAAUUCAUUUGUCAGGUCAUUUGGUUUCUUGGUUUCCUAAGGGACUGUAUCCUUCCUGCCCUGCUAAUGGGGAGACUUUUUGUUUUUUGUUUUCUGUUUUCCUUAAUAAGUGAGGCCAAGUGCUGUGUGUAACUGUGGGGUGGGCAAAAUUAGGAUUCCUGAAUCACUUCACUUUUUGUUGCCUUUCUCUUGGGAGAAUGGUUACCAUUGCAGAGAAGCAUAGUUAAAAUUGCUUUUGUGUUUCAUAAACGAAUUCAUACUUAGAUGUCAUUGACCAACAACUAAAUAGUAUAUCAGAGAUGAAAGGCAUCCUAGAGAUGACCAAAUCAAGCUCUUCAUUACUCAAAGGAGAAAAAAAUCCAGAAAGUGGAUGACAUAUGUUGAACUAGUGAUGGAAGUAGAACAGGGUAGUGUAUUUUCUGCCUCUUAAUUCUUCAUUUUUUACACUAAACCAGAUAUUAGGUAUAUGACUAGGAAGAUACGUGAGGUAAGGAGCAGAGGGUUUGGCUCCAAACUCAUCAUGUAGUCAUCCUCCUCCAAGCUCUGAGAGCUUCUCUCACAUGUUAAUUCAGAGGCAGUAACAAAAGAAUUAAUGCUCCUGAAGGUUUCUCAAUUUUAUCAUCUGGAAAGUGGAGUGAACCUUUGCAGAGUCCUUCUGAAGAGGGCUGACCUUGGACUGCACUAGGUUAUAUUCAUUUGCUAUUACUCAGCAAUAAAAAGUAAAUGCAACAAUAUAAA